CAAUAAAAGGGCGGAUCCCUCAAGGAUAUGGGCAACUCUCUUGGUCUACCGAAGAAAAAUACAUCAAGCAUACUAUUGCUUGCCACAAAUAGAGUCUCAAAUUGGUAGGUUUCUGGCUGAUUGCCAAAAUGAAGUAUACUGACUUGCUAAGCCAAGCAAAAGUAAGCAAAUGGUUGGGAGGGCAUGUAGAGCUGUAACGACAAGCAUCAUUGAAUAGGAAAGGAAAAGCAAACUCCCAAUGAAACUAGCCCGCAAUCCACCUAUUACCUACCCGACGCCAUUGAAAGAAAGUGCUACUGCUUUA
rnacentral:lncRNA from 1 species